rnacentral:rRNA from 1 species
GGAGGGAAAGUAGGGGAUCGAAAGACCUUAUGCUUUUGGAGCGGCCGAUGUUUGAUUAGCUAGUUGGUAGGGUAAUGGCUUACCAAGGCGACGAUCAGUAGUUGGUCUGAGAGGACGGCCAGCCACACUGGGACUGAGACACGGCCCAGACUCCUACGGGAGGCAGCAGUGGGGAAUUUUGGACAAUGGGCGCAAGCCUGAUCCAGCAAUGCCGCGUGAGUGAAGAAGGCCUUCGGGUUGUAAAGCUCUUUCAGUUGAAAAGAAAAAGCCGUGACUAAUAAUCAUGGUUCAUGACGGUAUCAACAGAAGAAGCACCGGCUAACUACGUGCCAGCAGCCGCGGUAAUACGUAGGGUGCAAGCGUUAAUCGGAAUUACUGGGCGUAAAGGGUGCGCAGGCGGUUCUGUAAGUCAGAUGUGAAAUCCCCG